rnacentral:rRNA from 1 species
UACAGAGGGUGCAAGCGUUAAUCGGACUUACUGGGCGUAAAGGGUGCGUAGGUUGUUGUAUAAGUUAGUUGUGAAAGGCCUGGGCUUAACCUGGGAACUGCAAUUAAGACUGUGCGACUAGAGUUGAGUAGAGGGGAGCGGAAUUUCCGGUGUAGCGGUGAAAUGCGUAGAUAUCGGAAGGAACAUCAGUUGCGCAGGCGGCUCUCUGGACUCAAACUGACACUGAGGCACGAAAGCGUGGGUAGCGAACAGG